rnacentral:misc_RNA from 1 species
UCCGGGUUUCUCCCGGCAGUCUGGCUAGACAUCAUAACUAGCCACGGGGGUUGCGCUCGUUGCGGGACUUAACCCAACAUCUCACGACACGAGCUGACGACAGCCAUGCAGCACCUGUGGUCAGGCCCUUGCGGGGGCACUCAUCUCUGAGUGUUUCCUGAUCAUGUCAAGCCCAGGUAAGGUUCUUCGCGUUUCGUCGAAUUAAACCACACGCUCCGCUGCUUGUGCGGGUCCCCGUCAAUUCCUUUGAGUUUUAGCCUUGCGGCCGUACUCCCCAGGCGGGACACUUACUGCGUGUGCGCCGGCACUGGUGGGGUCGAUACCACCAACACCUAGUGUCCAUCGUUUACGGCGUGGACUA